rnacentral:rRNA from 1 species
GUGUAAGUACUAGCCAACUAUAAAAUGGUGAAACCGCGAAAAGCUCAUUAAAUCGGCUUUGGUUCCUUAGACAGUAUGCAGAUGGGAGUUUUUUUCUUAGGAAGAAAACAAAAGUCUGAUUUGGAUAACUGUGGUAAUUCUAGAGCUAAUACAUGAAAAGAAAUCAGUGUGAAAUCGUGUACGCAUUAACUUGCGUAUGUGAAUUUUGCACGCUUUUAUUAGAGAAAAAAGCCAAUUUAGUUUUUUGAUCAAAGCCGCGGGAGCCAAUGCGUCGCUGUGCAGUGUUUUACAUUGUGCUCGUGUGCAUUUGCGUUCUCGGGUGAUUGACGAAAAGAAGUUUAACAAAAAAUGGUGUUGAAUCUGAAUAACUUGAACGGGUUCCUUUUGAAAGAAUUUAUCUCGAUGUUACUGCGUUUACUGUUUGUGAAUGGAUUUUAAAGCAGACUGCAUUAGAAGCCGCAUUCAAAUGAUCGUUGUCUGUGGCGCACAUCGCGUGCGUUUGGAUAAACGAGAAUGAGUGUCUGGUGAUUGCAGUGUGUCUUUCAAUUGUCUGCCUUAUCAACUGUCGAUGGUAGGUUACAUGCCUACCAUGGUUGUAACGGGUAACGGGGAAUCAGGGUUCGAUUCCGGAGAGGGAGCCUUAGAAACGGCUACCACAUCUAAGGAAGGCAGCAGGCACGCAAAUUACCCACUCCCGGCACGGGGAGGUAGUGACGAUAAAUAACGAUCCGGAACUCUAAUGAGUUUCCGAAAUCGGAAUGAGUACAAUUUAAAUCCUUUAACGAGGAACUAAUGGAGGGCAAGUCUGGUGCCAGCAGCCGCGGUAAUUCCAGCUCCAUUAGCAUAUAUUAAAGUUGUUGCGNUUAAAAAGCUCGUAGNNNAAUCUAUAUCUUGCGCUGUUAGUCGCUUGCGAUUUUAUUCGCGAGUCUGAUUGACAUUUUGCGUAAGAUAUAUGUGACGGCGGAUGUUCGUCGCUUGGAAUCGGUUUCUCAAUCGCUUUCCGAGCGCACGAUAAUUCGAUACGGUUGACGUUUGUCGAUAAGUUUCAUUGUGAUUGAAUNCANUCAGCGNGCANUCGUGAAGUCGAAGCGUGGAACCGAUGAGUUAGAAGAGGCUCGCGCGCGUGCGCGUGUUGUUUUGUCUGCUUGUCGCUAAAUGGUUUCUAGUUUUGAUGAUUGUGUGCUGCAUUGUUUUCAUUAAUUGCAUUGGAAUUAGGCGAAGGUUUUGUCGUAUUCUGAUUANCGUUCAUGUUGGUGAGAAAAAACUAAUGUGCUCGUUUAGUUGGGUCGUCAAUGUUACUUUGAAUAAAUUAGAGUGCUUAAAGCAGGCGUAUUUAAUCUGCCUUGAAUAUAAACAGCANGGAAUAAUAGAAUAUGAUCUCGAUACCGUUUCUUUUCAAGUGUGUGUUUGUGCGUUUUCUUCCGAGAGAGCACACUGGACGCGCGCUUCUAAUUGGCUUAAAGAAGCAGAUUUCUUGUUACGGACAUCGUUCGAUUGUUGGUUUUGUGAUCGCGGCCGGUGGUUAGCUUGCUGACUACGCGCGCAUCCUACNCAGACAGUCUAGUACGGUUCGUUUCAUGAAUGGAGUUGUUUCGACGGUAU